CCUACGGGAGGCAGCAGUGAGGAAUAUUGGUCAAUGGGCGCUAGCCUGAACCAGCCAAGCAGCGUGAAGGAUGACUGUCCUAUGGGUUGUAAACCUCUUUUAUCUGGGAAUAAAGUGUAGUACGCAUACCCCUUUGCAUGUACCUUAUGAAUAAGGAUCGGCUAACUCCGUGCCAGCAGCCGCGGUAAUACGGAGGAUCCGAGCGUUAUCCGGAUUUAUUGGGUUUAAAGGGUGCGGAGGCGGGUUGUUAAGUCAGCUGUGAAAGUUUGCGGCUCAACCCUAACAUUGCAGUUGAAACUGGCAGCCUUGAGUAGGGGAGAGGUAGGCGGAAUGCGUGGUGUAGCGGUGAAAUGCUUAGAUAUCGCGAAGAACUCCGAUUGCGAAGGCAGCCUGCUGGACUGUAACUGACGCUGAUGCACGAAAGUGUGGGUAUCGAACAGGAUUAGAUACCCCAGUAGUC
rnacentral:rRNA from 1 species